rnacentral:ribozyme from 1 species
CUGGCAAACUGGGAGGAGCUCGAUCCUUCCACCGUUGUGGAAUCUAGUUGGGGCCAAAGCUCAGAGGCACAUAGCCAGAUCCUUCGAGUCCUAGGAGACCAUUUUCAGAAGGUGGAGGAUCUUGGAGAGGGCAUUUGGAAGUAUGUCGCAGAGCGGCUGCGAAACUAUUUUGAUCUUGCACAGUACGAAGACACUGCAAAACUUGUUGCCGCUGUGGAAGUAGUAGAGAGAGUCGAUCUUCACGACAA